GAGAACGCAGCUCCGCCCUCGCAAAGGCCCAGCGCCGGCGCAGGCGCAGGGAGGCGCCCAGCAGCGGGGCAGGUGGCACCACCAGGGGGGUCCUCAGGCCUGGCGCGCACGCAUUCCAGAGGCCACCCAGACCAUUCCCCGCCGCCUGGGCGCCCAAGCUGCAGUCGCUCUCUGUGUGCAGGCAGCAGCUGCCUGACAACCGCCGAGCCCCCUCGCGCUCCCAGCAUCGCAGAACCAGGGCCAGGUGUCCCAGGGGCUGUGGCCAAACCAGGCAUUUUGCCCGGCGGCAGCGACUGCACAGGAGCGAGUACUGAGAACCCGCCGCUCAACUCCGCAUGGGUCCAUGGGAACCGUGGUGUUCUUCUGUCCAAGAUUAGCUCCAGCUACCUCCAGGGAUCCAUUGGAGAAAGACACCAGUUUUUGAGCCAACUACUACAAUUCUUAUAAUGUGGACACCAUUGUGUCUUAAAGUAAAUUUUUUUCUUACUAUUCUUGUAUCCAAAAUGACAGUAAAACACAAACAAUAUGACUGUGUUGAUACGUGUUGGUGGCAGCUAUUAAUUAUUUGGUUCUGGCACUGAAGAUAAAUAGGUGUAUUUAUGAGAUUAAUCUUUUAGCUCGAGAAUAACAACCACUUAAUAAAAUAUAAAAUUUUCCUUUUCUAAACUCAAAUUUAGAUUAAAUUUUUUUUUCAAGGUGAUGGAUUAGAGACUUUAAGCAUGCUUCAGCCACAUGGACAUAGCACAGUAGUGCAUAAAUGUCAACUCUCUGAGCUUUAAUUUAAGAAGUAGAAUAGGAAUCCAGCAGAAUCAUGAAGGAGAUGCCAGAUCCCGGGAAGGAGAAUGGAGGCAAACUGCCCCCAUGAUGACAUCCAACUAAUAAAAUAGAGAAGGGAUUUCACUAUAUUGCCAGGUGGAUCUUGAACUCUUGAUCUCAAGUGAUCCAUCUGCCUUGGCCUCCCGAACUGCUGGGAUUACAGACAAACAGGGAGCCAAAUCAUGAGUGAACUCCCAUUCACAAUUGCUUCAAAGAGAAUAAAAUACCUAGGAAUCCAACUUACAAGGGAUGUGAAGGACCUCUUCAAGGAGAACUACAAAACACUGCUCAAGGAAAUAAAAGAGGAUACAAACAAAUGGAAGAACAUUCCAUGCUCAUGGGUAGGAAGAAUCAAUAUCGUGAAAAUGGCCAUACUGCCCAAGAUUCAAUGCC